AAUUAUCAACCCAAAAGCUUUGUUAUGAGGCUUCUGUGGCUUGGAUGUGGGGGUUUUGCUGGCUUCCUUCAGUGGAUGGUCUGCUCCCCUUAAAUGCAUUAGCGGGAUCUCUUGUGGACCGUCACUUGGUGUGAUAAUUAUCUAUGCCACGUUGACUUUGAAGCAAAAUUAUGGGAACCUGCUCAUAACCGUCUGCUCGUCGGACAACUUUUAUGACA
rnacentral:misc_RNA from 1 species